rnacentral:rRNA from 1 species
GAUCAACGCUGGCGGCGUGCCUAACACAUGCAAGUCGAACGCGAAAGUUCCUUCGGGGAUGAGUAGAGUGGCGUCCGGGUGAGUAACGCGUGGGUAAUCUGCCUUUGGGUGGGGGAUAACUCAGGGAAACUUGGGCUAAUACCGCAUAAUGCAGCGGCUCGACAUCGAGACAGUUGUUAAAGACAGCAAUGCGCCUGAAGAGGAGCCUGCGUCUGAUUAGCUAGUUGGUAAGGUAAUGGCUUACCAAGGCUACGAUCAGUAGCUGGUCUGAGAGGACGGCCAGCCACAAUGGCACUGAAACACGGGCCAUACUCCUAC